UACGUAGGGGGCAAGCGUUGUCCGGAUUUAUUGGGCGUAAAGCGCGUGUAGGUGGCCUUGUAGGUCCGCUGUGAAAACUUGAGGCUCAACCUCAAGCUGUCGGUGGAAACCACAUGGCUAGAGUCCGGAAGAGGAGAGUGGAAUUCCUGGUGUAGCGGUGAAAUGCGUAGAUAUCAGGAGGAACACCGGUGGUGUAAACGGCUUUCUGGACCACAACUGACGCUGAUGCACGAAAGCUAGGGGAGCAAACAGG
rnacentral:rRNA from 1 species